GUUCACAGUCGACGGGGAGGUUUGGCACCUCGAUGUCGGCUCAUCGCAUCCUGGGGCUGUAGUCGGUCCCAAGGGUUGGGCUGUUCGCCCAUUAAAGCGGUACGCGAGCUGGGUUCAGAACGUCGUGAGACAGUUCGGUCCCUAUCCGUCGUGGGCGUAGGAAAUUUGAGAGGAGCUGUCCUUAGUACGAGAGGACCGGGAUGGACAUACCUCUGGUGUACCAGUUGUCGUGCCAACGGCAUAGCUGGGUAGCUAUGUAUGGACGGGAUAAGUGCUGAAAGCAUCUAAGCAUGAAGCCCCCCUCAAGAUGAGAUUUCCCAACUUCGGUUAUAAGAUCCCUCAAAGAUGAUGAGGUUAAUAGGUUCGAGGUGGAAGCGUAGCGAUACGUGGAGCUGACGAAUACUAAUCGAUCGAAGACUUAAUCAA
rnacentral:rRNA from 1 species